AAAUUGCAUUUUUAUUUACACAGUAUUACUGUUUUAAUGCGAUAUUUAUUGAUAAAAAGCCUAAUCCUCUAAUAACUCGGCUUAAAGAACCAGUCAAUAGCAAAAUGUCGAAACUAACUCCAGUACUAGUGCUUUCAGCCGUCAUUAGCUUAGGUGGGGCCCUACGUUGCUACCAGUGUGUCCAACCUACUGGAAAAUCUUGUGACAUUACCGUCGAGUGUUCACUUAUGUGUGGGAACUAUAUCCUGAAAUAUACUAAUCAUGAAAUGCUGUAUCAAGGCUGUUAUGUGGACAAACAGUGUGAACUUGUGGAAAAUAUUUACGCCAAUAAUCCCGCUGUUAGUGUGAAAAACUGUCGCAUGUGUGAAACUGAUUUGUGCAAUAAUUCCAGCCCAAAAAUACAAAAUGUAACUUUGCUUGUUAUUGGCAUUUUGGGGUUUUAUUUUAUUUUGUAAAUAUUUAACCGCCAAAUAAAAAUAAUUCUAGAUUAAAUGUGGUUUAUGUUUUACCUAAACAACUACGAAGUGAAUAAGAUAAAUAUAAAUUAAUCACUUUAUGACAACUGAUAAAAAGCUUAGCUGUUAGAAUUCAGAAAAUUUGCAGCCCACACCCAGAAAACUAACAUUUUGAAUUAUUUACUAAAGAUAACUGAACUAAAACCCUGCCAAAUCACCAUCAGUCAAUAGCAAAAUGCCAAAACUAACUCUCGUAUUUGUACUUUCAGUUCUUAUUUUUAACACAGUUGGUGCUUUGCGUUGCUACCAGUGCACCCACCCGACAGAUGAGUCCUGUGAUGUUACCUCCGAGUGUCUGUUUAAAUGUGGAAAAUACACCAUAAAAUAUCCAGACUCUGAACUUCUAUUUCAAGGCUGCUAUCUCGACAAUCAAUGUGAAAUUAUGGAAAAUACUUAUGCACAGAAUCCAGUUGUUAGUGUGAAAGAUUGUCGCAUGUGCGAAACGGAUUUAUGCAACAAUUCGGCCUCAAAAAUGCAAAACAUAGCUUUGCUUGUUAUUGGAAUUGUGGGCUUUUAUUAUGUUUUGUAAAUAAGUUGUCUAAAUACAUUAAAUAAUUUUAUAUUAAAACAA